UACAGAGGGUGCGAGCGUAAUCGGAAUUACUGGGCGUAAAGCGUGCGUAGACGGUUACGUAAGUCGGGUGUGAAAGCCCCGGGCUCAACCUGGGAAUUGCAUUCGAGACUGCGUAGCUAGGGUGCGGAAGAGGGAAGCGGAAUUUCCGGUGUAGCGGUGAAAUGCGUAGAUAUCGGGAGGAACACCAGUGGCGAAGGCGACUACCUGGCCUGUUCUUGACGCUGAGGCGCGAAAGCUAGGGGAGCAAACGGGG
rnacentral:rRNA from 1 species